AGUGAACGCUGGCGGUAUGCCUAACACAUGCAAGUCGAACGGCAGCACAGUAAGAGCUUGCUCUUACGGGUGGCGAGUGGCGGACGGGUGAGGAAUACAUCGGAAUCUACUUUUUCGUGGGGGAUAACGUAGGGAAACUAACGCUAAUACCGCAUACGACCUACGGGUGAAAGCAGAGGAUCUUCGGACCUUGCGCGAUUGAAUGAGCCGAUGUCGUAUUAGCUAGUUGGCGGGGUAAAGGCCCACCAAGGCGACGAUCCGUAGCUGGUCUGAGAGGAUGAUUCGCCACACUGAGACUGAGGCACGGUCCAGACUCCUACGGGAGGCAGCAGUGGGGAAUAUUGGACAAUGGGCGCAAGACUGAUCCAGCCAUACAGCGUGGGUGAAGCAGGCCUUCGGGUUGUAAAGCCCUUUUGUUGGGAAAGAAAAGCAGCAGGUUAAUACCCCGCUGUUCUGACGGUACCCAAAGAAUAAGCACCGGCUAACUUCGUG
rnacentral:rRNA from 1 species